CGAAGGGAAACCGAUGUGAUUGGACUCGCAGACUUUUGGGGCCGUCUCUGACAAUCUCAGCACGCUUUAGUUGGCCGCGGCAUGCGCGGGGAUGGGGACUCGUGGAGGCGUUGGUCAACUGUGCCAUUAGAAUCCGAGGAGAGAGCUUCGCUGUGUCUGUGGGAUCACAAUGCGUGUCAUUGGAUUGCUUGAUCGCGUGGAAGUGGUAUCCAAUGCGUCUAACAUUCGAUCACAGCAGACUCGCGUUAGAGAGGAUAAUGAAAGUACUAACUAACCAUCAGAUUUU
rnacentral:lncRNA from 1 species